ensembl:lncRNA
CUCCGGGUGUAUUUGAGUGCAAUCAGAUGUGUCUGGGCUGCGCCGCCAGGUGUAUUCAGGUGCAUUUGGGCUGUACCUCUGACUGCUUAGGGUGUGCUUGGGCUGUAUCCAGGCUGUACCUAUGGGAGGUACCCUGCACCUCUGGCUGUGGUUGAGGUGUAUUUGGGGUGUAUUGCUGGCUGUGGUUGGGGUGUGAUUGGGGUGUGUCCAGGCUGUACCUCCGGUUGUGGUCGGGUGUGUUUGGGGUGUAUCUGGGCUGUACCUCUGGUUGUUGCUGGGUGUGUUUGGGGUGUAUCCAGGCUGUACCACCAGCUGUGGUUGGGGUGUAUUUGGGCUGUACCCUCCCCGCUGUUGUUGGUGGCAUUUGGGGUGUAUUCGGGCUGUACCUCCGGCUGUUGUCGGGUGUAUCUGAGGCAGACGAGGCCGGCUCCGGGUUCAGGGUGCCGAGGCCUCUCCCGGCCCCUUCCCGCGUCAUUCCCACACCGUUCCCACACUGUUCCYGCGCUGCUCUCAUGCCGUUCCUGCGCUGUUCCUAUGUCAUUCCCGUGUCGUUUCGUGUCAUUCCCAUGCUGGUCCCAUGCUGGUCCUGCAUCAUUCCUGUGUCAUUCCCACACCAUUCCCGCGCCGUUCCCACGUUGUUCCUGCAUCGUUCUCGCAUCGUUCCCGCGUUGUUCCUGCGCUGUUCCCAUGCUGUUCCCAUGCUGUUCCAUGUUGUUCCACGUUGUUCCCAUGCGGUUCCCACGCUGUUCCCACGCCGUUUCUGCACCGUUCCCACGUUGUUCCCGUGCCAUUCCCACGCCGUUCCCGCGUUGUUCCCACGCCGUUCCCAUGCCGUUCCUGCGCCGUUCCCACGUUGUUCCUGUGCCAUUCCUGCGCCGUUCCCACUCCAUUCCCACGCCGUUCCCGUGCCAUUCCCACGCCAUUCUCGCGUGGUUCCCACACCGUUCCCACGCGGUUCCCGCGCGGUUCCCACACGGUUCCCACGCGGUUCCCGUGCCGUUCCCGUGCCGUUCCCACGCCGUUCCCACGCCAUUCCCGUGCCGUUCCCACGCCAUUCCCGCAUGGUUCCCACGCCGUUCCCAUGCCGUUCCCGCGUGGUUCCCACGCCAUUCCCAUGCCGUUCCCGUGCCAUUCCCACGCCAUUCCCGCAUGGUUCCCACGCCGUUCCCAUGCUGUUCCCGCGUGGUUCCCACGCCAUUCCCAUGGCGUUCCCGUGCCGUUCCCACGCCAUUCCCGCGCGGCGGGCGGCUCGGCGCCGGGCCGGGGGAUUCCCUCCCUCCCCUUCGAACACCCCGAUCGACCCGUGGGGCUCCCCGGCCCCCCCGGCCCGUCGAUAGGUUAAGUGCCGGGGUCGGGGUUAUUGACAGGCUGAUUAGCGGCGCUGUCAGCUGCCGGGCGCCGCGCGGGGCCGGGCYGCGCCGCCGCCGCCGCAUUGAUUUUUGGGGGAUUCCCGGCGACCCCGGCGCUGACACAUCGAUCGCGCUCCCGCGAGGCAGCGCUUCGCCGCGGGGCUCCCGCGCGCCGCCCGGCCCCUCGCCCCGCUCUCGCCCCCCGUCUCCUGCCCCGGCUGCCGAGGGGGCCCAGGCGUCCGGGCCCCGCUGCUCCCACCCNNNNNNNN